CUUUGGCUCCAUUUUCUAGAAUUGUUGCAUUUUACAUUCUCACAUUUUCCAGGCGCACCAGGUUCUCUACAAAUUUAUUAUUGGAGUUUUUGAAAAUCGUUGGGAAACAAAAUGGAGGUAAACUAAUACAAGAUGAAUCAAUUGUGUAACCCUGCAAAAAUGUUUUGAGUGACAUGCAUAUACAAGAUUCAAGUGAACAGUAAUUUGGGGAAAAGAGCAUGUCAUUGGACGUAGUAAGUUAUUUUGAAGAUGCACCGAAUCACCGACGCGGAAAUACAAGCCCAUUAUUCAUUUGAUUGGAGGCGUUAGUAUAUCCAUCGAGAAAGUGAUAAUUCGUUACAAUAUCCGAUUAAUAAUUUUCGGGUUAUUUCUAAUUUAAAACCCAAUCCAUCGUAUUCAAAUGUCUUAUUUAACUUUAAUGACUUAUCUUCAGUCAAAUUUCGAUAGGGGCAUUUUCAGACUAAACUAAAG